AUGGCAAAGGUUGUUCAGAGACUGUGUCAGAUCUCACUUGUUAGACUGCAUGUCCACCGUGCCACUGCUGAUGAUGUCCAGCAGAAGCACCGCCACUCCGUCGUCUGCUGUGUGCUUCGCUGCACCGUAUCAAACAUCCCGCCCACCUACAGACCAUGUGACACCAAAUCUCAGAUGAGCUCAGAGCAGUUUAACCACAUCUUGGAAGGGUUGGGUAUCAUUUGAAUUUUAUUGAUUCCGAUUCUUAGCAAUUUCUAGUUUCGAUUACCAAUAGAAAAAAAAAAAAAUAACCAAUAUAUAUAAAAAAUAAAAAUAAAAUAAAAAAAAAAUACAAACAUUUAGAUGUCAAAUAUUUAUUCUGUUGCAGCUGAAUAACAUGAGCAAAAACCAGCAGCCUACAGAACACUUACAAGAGGAACGCUUUUAACAAAAUACCACAGCAAAAUCAACUAGACUUAUAUAAAUAUCGGCCGAUAUCUGGCAUUUUUCAAAUAUCGGCAUCAAUAUGCGUUCGAGGUGGGACUUUUAUUUUGAUGGCGCUGAGAGCGGCAGUUUUUUGUCAUCGUUAACAGUUCUGUCAUACGGAUAGAGGUCUGUCUAAUAAUUCGAUAGAACGGUUAAACAAAGGAAUUAAAAUGUAUACGGAAAAGAAUUAUAACGAUUGCUUUUAUAUGAUUAGUAAUAGAAAGGAACACAUUUUAAUACUUUUUCGUUUGCCGUCAACAUAAUACGCAUUUACAUAAUUUUUAACAAAUCUUUGAAUGGCUAAUGAAAAUUUAAUUUCACAAACCUUGCAAACUCAGUCGAAUCUGGUUGUGAGAUCUUGGGAAGUGUGCAUGUGACCUGCAUGAUCGCGUGUUCGCUGCAUGACUUUUGAUGCAAACUGAAUGCUUUAAACAUUAUGCUGUGCUUUAUGCAUUUGCCCACUGUCAUAUUCAUGUCAUUUUAUUCAUGUUACCUUGGCUUUAUUUGAAAAAAAUAGGAUUCCCAAUGCACACAAACUUCCCAGAAUACUGAGUGCCCUGUUGAUUACAGUUUACUUCCUUUUUAAUUAUAUUUGUAUUAAAUAUUUAUUUAUUUGUGGAAAAUACUUUGUCAUCUAAAGUAUAUGUUUAUUUUACUUUUUUUUAUCCAUUUUCAAAUGAUUUCAACUUUCUGAAAUAUCAAUUAAAAUAAAUUAUAAAUUAUAUCUGCUUGAUAUCAGCCAUCCUGCUUUCCAAGAUAUCGGCUGUCAAAAAACAAUAUCGGUCGACCACUAAAUACAACUGAACCAUAUUUAAGGUAGAGAAACUGUAAUUAAAAGCACUGCAUAGUUUUCUUUUUUUUAUAAAUAAAAUCUAGAUUCAUUGAAGUUAUUAAAGAUACUCAGUCAAGAUCAGUGAAUGAUUCUGUUUUGUUCUUUGAUUAACAUCAUUAACAGGGAGCUGCUGUCUCUUUAACACCGAACGCACACAACGCACACAAAUCUAAAAUACUGUACACGUGCAUUUUCUUGCUCAUCUGUUUACGUUCACUUAAGACAAAAACGGCUGUGUUUAUGAUGAUAUACUGACUUAGUUUUCUGCAUACUGGUCGAUAAAUAUGAAAGAAGUCAGUUUCUCUGUACUGGAAAUGCACAGAAUGGUUAGAGAACGGACACAAACCGGGAACGCUGCAUGCAAACAAGGCACAAGUUCUUUCCGUUCCUGCACUUAAAUCAUUUUUAAAAUCACAUUAAAAUGCAAAUGCAGGAAUCGAAAAAACACACGCCUAAUCGAAUACCCUGUUCUUGGAAAUUUCUGAAAUGGAACCGGUUUUCGAUACCCAACCCUACAUCUCGGUGACUUUCAUUUGUCUUCUAGGCAGAGUUUAACCUCGGGCACACAAUACAAGGAAAUGAGAUUGAUGAGAGGCAGAGCAACACACAGAUUGUACUUGUUUGGUCAGCCUGAAGGCACAUGAUGAAUGAGAGAAAGAGGUAACGGUUGCGCACCAGAUUGAGCCGCAGCUUCAAGGCCUCGUGCAUCAUCUGCUUGGCCUUGCAGUCGUCUUGGUACUGGUCCUCACGCCAGUUAGUCACAAUCUGAUAGGAUAGGAAUACAUCACAUCAGUCCAAAGAGAUGAGAUGCAUUUGACUGACAGUGACACGGUGUGUGUUGGUGAGGCACCUGCUGGACUUGGCUGUAGAGGGAAGUCAGGAGACCCUCUCUCUGCUCGUCUUGUCCUUUAAGACACGUCAGCACCAGAGAGAGGAAGGGCUGCUGGCUCAGGAGAGACAUACUGAGAGAGAACAGAAAACCAAGGAAAUGGUCAUUCUCGUUAGCACAGUCACACUUGUUAAUUACUGUGAUAAGCACAAAACAAAAGGCACACACAAACUAGUUUUUUUUGUUUUUUUUAGCUUAAACUUAUAAGCUGAUGAUACACAGGGAAACUUUUUAAGCAAAAUUUCUUGGGCACUUAGUCACUAUUUCUAACUGGAUACUUAAGAUAAUAUAUUUCCAUUUUAAAUAAAUCCUGUUCUUUUGAACUUACAGUCAUCAAAGAUACUGUGACUAAAUCACAAAAAUAUUAAGCAGCACAACUGCUUUUCACACCGAUAAUAAGAAAACAGCAUAUAAGGAUGAUUUCUGAAGGAUCAUGUGACACUGAUGCUGAAAAUUCAGCUUUCCAUCACAGGAAUAAAUUACAUUUUAAAAUAUUUGAAAAUUUAUAAAAUACUUUAAAUUGUAAUAUUUCUAUUUUUGAUCAAAUAAAUGCAUCCUUGUCUUUCAAAUAAAUAAAAUUAUUAAAAAAAAUACAGCCAGUCACAAGCUUUUUAAUGGUAGUGAAUAUUUUACAAUGCAUUGUUUGUGUAAAAGGACAGGGCUGCCUCUCAGAGGGCUGUAUACUUUUGUUGCUUACUAUUUAAGUCAACAUGUUUCGGUUCGUUUGAGGCACUGAACAUCAGGAGAAAAGCAACAGUGUAAAUGCUGCAGCAGCUUAAAAGUCUAGUACCUUUUUUGUUUCUGCCGAUCUCUUUCUUUCCUUGAGGAGGGUCCCAGGUGCUGUCCCUUCUCCAGCUCUUCGCCCGCAGCCUUCAGCACGUGACCCUGCACUGAGGUGGGCAGCUUACCAAUCAGAGGGGCCACUAACCAGACCCCUGAACGCUCGGAGGAACUGGAGGAAGCACAACAAUAGCAGAAACAGUAUGUGAGAAACACGCAGCAUACACAUUGACAGGAACAUUGAUUAGUGUUGUUUGAAGAAGAGAAGGCCGGUCCAUCAAUUCCAUCAAGCUGAAAGAAAUAAAAGCACAAAGCAAAGAUUGGGGUCACCGACCUGAGCACAGGUUUGAGUUUGCUGGCACUGUUGCUAUUGGAGACGGAGCUACCAGAAACCGCAGAGCCAUUCCAGGUGGGGUUACUAGAGUUCAUCUCUGCAGACUUCUGGAAAACCUCAAUGGUGGCCUUGGCUAUGUUCUCCAGAAGAGAAUACAGCUCCUGCAAAGAGUGGGUUCAGAUGUACAAGUCUUACGGAAAAGAGAGAGAGAGAGAGAUCCAUCAAGCGGAGAUGAACUCUUACGUUAUUCGAGCUUUGCUUGAUCAUGAGCUGCAGCUCGAGAGAGGACUGUCUCAUGGUCCACUGGUCCAUGUUCUGUAAGCAGACGGAAUAUGGAAAGAAUGCUUUUAAAACAAUCAAAGCAGAGCUGAAGAGCCCCAGCUGGAUGUUAAUCGUCUAAUGAAAGACGAAAACCAAUACCAGAAUAAUGAGCUGCCGUGAGACCCACACAAAUCAUUAAUGGCUUAAAGGCUAAAGGGUGUGAAAUUAAUAAUUAAGCUCUGUUCAUCCUCUGCUGCUCUUCCAGCACUGACAGCGGUGUCUAAAACUCCCUUCAUGUACGCAGGCCUGGUCUACUGGGUUUUAAAGCUGAAAUGCAUAUGUUCUGCAUAUACAGUACAUCUUCUGCAAAAUCAAUGACUGUUUUCAAACAGGUUUCUAGAACACUCCUUCCUAAACGUGUAUAAAUAUACAGUAUAUUGCAGUGUUUUCCCAGGAUUCUGUGAGACUAUGGUGGGUGGACGACAAAACAUCUAAAAGUUAGAAAAUCCCUUUUCAGUUUGUUUGCAGUGCUUUAGAGUGGACUAAAAACCUAUUUUUUUGUUGCGGCAGUGUCAGUCCACAUCACAUUCACACUGGUAUUUUUAGAAAGCCAAACCAUUUAAAUAUAAUAAUAAAGUUAAAUUAAAAUAUCACAGCACCUGCAGAGACCCGAGUUUUCAGCAUCAAGGCUAUUUUCAUGGCAAUCUCUUAAUAAAUUAUACAAGGUAUACAAUUAACA
rnacentral:lncRNA from 1 species